rnacentral:tRNA from 1 species
GGAGAGAUGGUUGAGUGAUUGAUAGCUCCGGUCUUGAAAACCAGUAUAGUUCCGAACAAAGAACUAUCGAGGGUUCAAAUCCCUCUCACUCCU